rnacentral:lncRNA from 1 species
UGCUCUGUACAAGUCCGGGUUGGUGACGGCCCCAGCAGUCCCCACAGGGCCCCUGGGGGGCGCAGGAAGUGGGCAGGCGCCUCUAGAUGAAAUAUUCCUUCUUGUCGUCCCCUCCUGACUGCCCGCCUUCUGCAUUACAGACUGGGCCGGGUGUGGCAAAGACAUCAGCAGCCACAGCCAGAGUCCCAAAUAUCUGAGGACUCGCACGGGCCCAGCACACGGUUCUGAUGUAGCCAUAGACAUAACUCUCCCACCCAUGGGAGAGCUGCUGUUUUCCAUGGACUCAGCUUGAGUCUUAAUGCCUCAUUGACUCCUUACAUAUUUUGUCUUUCCUACCUUAUGUCUCCUCAGGCUUGGCUGGGCCCGCGUUUCAGUUCCUUGCCUGUCUACACCUUAUUUGAAAAGAAAACAUUUGUGUUCUGGUUUUUUAUGCCCUGCUUGGGAGGAAGGGAGAGGAUGAGUCCAGGAAAUCUAUGAUAUGAUUGGGGUGGAGGUGAUGGUGUAACUUGGAGGAAGCAGAGUGAGUUACCUGCUGUCUCUCUCUCAGGGAGUAUGCGAGACAGUCCACAUGGAAA